GACGGAGGGUGCAAGCGUUGUUCGGAAUCACUGGGCGUAAAGAGCGUGUAGGCGGUUUGAUAAGUCGAAUGUGAAAGCCCGAGGCUCAACCUCGCAAGUGCAUUCGAAAGUGUCAGGCUUGAGUAAGGGAGAGUGAAGUGGAAUUUCUGGUGUAGAGGUGAAAUUCGUAUAUAUCAGGAGGAACAUCGGUGGCGAAGGCGGCUUCCUGGACCGAUACUGAUGCUGAGACGCGAAAGCGUGGUGAGCAAACUGG
rnacentral:rRNA from 1 species